rnacentral:rRNA from 1 species
UACGGAGGGGGCUAGCGUUGUUCGGAAUCACUGGGCGUAAAGCGCACGUAGGCGGGUGGGUAAGUCAGGGGUGAAAGCCCGGAGCUCAACUCCGGAACUGCCUUUGAUACUGUCCAUCUAGAAUCCGGAAGAGGUGAGCGGAAUUUCGAGUGUAGAGGUGAAAUUCUUAGAUAUUGGGAAGAACACCAGUGGCGAAGGCGGCUCACUGGUCCGUUACUGACGCUGAGGUGCGAAAGCGUGGGGAGCAAACAGG